GCCCUCAAAAUAUUGGAACAAAACAGUCUUUGCUGUAUAAAGUUUAUGUCCUACUGGAAGAAGACGUGAAAUGAGCACACAAACAGUGUGGUGACCUAGAAAGUAACACAUGGCAUGGAGAAAAUAGAAUAGGAUUAAGGAAGAUGAGAGGGUAAAGGGGCCGGUUGCACCUUUUAAAUAGGAUUGUCAGAGUAGCCUUCAUUGAAAAAGUUAAAUUAAGCAGAGAUUUGAAAGAGGUAAUGGGUAAACUAUGCAGUUAUUUGAGGGAAGAGCUGCUCAUCUGAGUAAAGCUGGUUAUCUAGGAGAAAAGCUGCCCAAGCAACAGAAACAUAGAAUUCCAAGACUCGUAGUCUAGAGCAACCAUGGUAUGUUUGUGUAACACCAUGGAAGCCAGGAGUAAUAUGAGAAAGGAGGAGAGUAGGUGGGGGAAGGGUUUAGACAUAGCAGAUUGUGUAGGAUUUUGUAAGAACUUAGGCUUUUAUGUGAGAUGCACAUCUGGAGGAUUUUGAGAAAAGAAACAACAUGAUUUGACUUACAUUUUGAAAGCAUCAUUCAGGCUCUUCUUUGGAGAAUAGACUUUAUUUAGGGGAAGGAAAGUGAAAGGGGAGAAAUGACAAUGGCUUCAACUAGAGUAGUUCUAAGGGAGGUAGUGAGAAGUGAUCAGAUUCUUUUGCAAGGUGGAGUUCCUGAUGAUUGAAUGAAGCGCAUGAGAGAGAGAAGUCGAGGAUGACCCCAAGACUUUUGAACUAAGCGACUGGACGGAUGGGGUUACCAUCAAUUGAGAUGAGAGAGACUUCAGGUAGAGCAAAUUUGAAGGGAUAUUGAAAACAUCAAAACUGCAUUCUCCAGAAUACAAACUCCAUCAAAACCUGCUAUGAAGCUUUCUGACAUAUGAGCUACCCUGAAAUACAACUCUUGGACGCCGGAUGAAUUCAACGAUACAAACUAAUAAAUGACCAAAGUUCUGUUCAGAAUAUUGGAUCUAUCAUUUUACAAUAUGACUUAAGCUCUUUGUAUCACAAAACUAUUCCAAAGGCACAAAAUAUGAAUCCAUUGCAUAAGAACAAGGGGCACCAGUUUGGGCGUUGGAAGAUGUUUUAUUUACAAUGUGGUAUAAAUCUUUGACAAACACCAAGUUAAUUAAUGCUUCCUGAACUUGAAUUAUGCCAUAUAAUUUGUUGGUAAGAACUGCU